rnacentral:rRNA from 1 species
CGUGUAGGUGGUCAGGUAAGUCAGAUGUGAAAGACCUUCUGCUUAACAGAAGAAGUGCAUUUGUAAACUAGCUUGGCUAGAGUACGGGAGAGGAGAGUGGAAUUCCCGGUGUAGAGGUGAAAUUCGUAGAUAUCGGGAGGAACACCAGUGGCGAAGGCGGCUCUCUGGUCCGAUACUGACGCUGAGACGCGAAAGCGUGGGAGCAAACAGGAUUAGAUACCCUGGUAGUCCACGCCGUAAACGAUGGGCACUAGGUGUAGGAGGUAUUGACCCCUUCUGUGCCGAAGCUAACGCAUUAAGUGCCCCGCCUGGGGAGUACGGCCGCAAGGCUAAA